rnacentral:rRNA from 1 species
UACGGGGGGUGCAAGCGUUGUUCGGAAUUAUUGGGCGUAAAGCGCGUGUAGGCGGUUUGAUUAGUCUGGUGUGAAAGCCCUGGGCUCAACCCAGGAAGUGCAUUGGAAACUGUCAGACUUGAAUACGGGAGAGGGUAGUGGAAUUCCUGGUGUAGGAGUGAAAUCCGUAGAUAUCAGGAGGAACACCGGUGGCGAAGGCGGCUACCUGGACCGAUAUUGACGCUGAGACGCGAAAGCGUGGGUAGCAAACAGG